GUUAGAAGUGACACUGUCAUGCUUGGUAGUCACUGACAUUUAAAUGAAUGAUUCAGUCGUCACUGAGUACUAUUAUCAAACUAAUGAGGCAUUGCAAUUUAAUAAUGGAUUAAAGUGUUAAAGUGUCCAGAUACCAUUCAUGAGUGUAAAAUAAAUGAUUAGGUUAAGUUAGUCAGUAAAUCUGAUUGAUUCCAUAAAGUAAUCAGAGCCAUUUGAUUAAAUUGACCUGGCAGUGGUGAAACUGCUUUUAGCUGUAUUAGCUGCAAAAUGCCGGCUCACAGAUUGUCUCUCUUUAUUCUCUCUCUUUCUCUCUCUCUCUCUCUUCUCUCUUGCUCCCACCCAUUCCUCUUACUAACUCCACCCUCCCUAUCUCUCCGUUCACAAAGUCGUCUCAGUGCACAAGACAGUUGAUAGAGUAAGCAGAACAAAGCAGGGCAACCUUAAGCAGGUGUAAAGAACAGUUUGAAGAAGGACACAGGCUCCUGUGUGUGACCUAUCGUCUGUCGGCCCGGGAGAGCGGCUCUGCUUUCGCCCAAUGCAGAGAUCAUCUAUCCAUUGCUGUCACAUGAGGACGUGUGUCUGCCUGUUCUACACCCAUUCUCUGAUCCAGUAGGGUGCAGCACAUCCAUCACCCUGAACCCCAGCAGGCCUGCCACGCUGUCUCACUCCCCUGAUUCUGCCUCUUCUCCUCCUGCACGCACCCCUCAGCCCUCCCUGGAGACCCCAGGGCCCUUCAUCCUCAAUGGACAGCAGGGAGAGGGAUGCAGGACCCUCGCCCAGGAGAUCUGCCUCACUCCUGGGAACCUGAGGGAGGAUCC
rnacentral:lncRNA from 12 species